AGUGAACGCUGGCGGUAGGCCUAACACAUGCAAGUCGAACGGCAGCACAGUAAGAGCUUGCUCUUACGGGUGGCGAGUGGCGGACGGGUGAGGAAUACAUCGGAAUCUACUUUUUCGUGGGGGAUAACGUAGGGAAACUUACGCUAAUACCGCAUACGACCCACGGGUGAAAGCAGGGGAUCUUCGGACCUUGCGCGAUUGAAUGAGCCGAUGUCGGAUUAGCUAGUUGGCGGGGUAAAGGCCCACCAAGGCGACGAUCCGUAGCUGGUCUGAGAGGAUGAUGAGCCACACUGGAACUGAGACGCGAUCCAGACUCCUACGGGAGGCAGCAGUGGGGAAGAAUGGACAAUGGGCGCAAGCCUGAUCCAGCCAUACCGCGUGGGUGAAGAAGGCCUUCGGGUUGUAAAGCCCUUUUGUUGGGAAAGAAAAGCAGCAGGUUAAUACCCCGCUGUUCUGACGGUACCCAAAGAAUAAGCACCGGCUAACUUCGUG
rnacentral:rRNA from 1 species